UGGGGAAUAUUGCACAAUGGGGGAAACCCUGAUGCAGCGACGCCGCGUGAGCGAAGAAGUAUUUCGGUAUGUAAAGCUCUAUCAGCAGGGAAGAAAAUGACGGUACCUGACUAAGAAGCACCGGCUAAAUACGUGCCAGCAGCCGCGGUAAUACGUAUGGUGCAAGCGUUAUCCGGAUUUACUGGGUGUAAAGGGAGCGUAGACGGUUGUGUAAGUCUGAUGUGAAAGCCCGGGGCUCAACCCCGGGACUGCAUUGGAAACUAUGUAACUAGAGUGUCGGAGAGGUAAGCGGAAUUCCUAGUGUAGCGGUGAAAUGCGUAGAUAUUAGGAGGAACACCAGUGGCGAAGGCGGCUUACUGGACGAUCACUGACGUUGAGGCUCGAAAGCGUGGGGAGCAAACAGG
rnacentral:rRNA from 3 species